rnacentral:rRNA from 1 species
ACCCGCUGAAUUUAAGCAUAUCACUAAGCGGAGGAAAAGAAACUAACCAGGAUUCCCCUAGUAACGGCGAGUGAAGAGGGAAAAGCCCAGCACCGAAGCCUGCGGCAGUUUUGCUGUUAGGCAAUGUGGUGUUUAGGCCGGCUCGCGGGAUUGCCACUCCACUCGAAGUCCAGCAUUGAGUAUGGUCACUGGAAUUGGCCCAGAGAGGGUGAAAGGCCCGUACGGGUGGAGUUUCAGACAAGUCAGGCAAUUCACCAGGUCGACCUUAGAGUCGGGUUGUUUGAGAAUGCAGCCCAAAGCGGGUGGUAAACUCCAUCCAAGGCUAAAUACUAGCACGAGUCCGAUAGCGAACAAGUACCGUGAGGGAAAGUUGAAAAGUACUUUGAAGAGAGAGUAAACAGUACGUGAAGCCGCAUGCAGGUAAACGGACGGCGCCAAGCUGCGGGUCUAGAGAAUUCAGUUGGCUAGGAUGUGUGACGCGCCUGACGCGUCUAUCGGUCAGAAUAGCAAUGGUAGUCCACUGGUAAACGGUGGGCCUGGUAGCAAUACUGGGUUAUGUGUACCGAGCGGAAGCCGGAGCAUGCUACUAAUCUGCAGGACCGCCUAGUCGGUGCACUUUCUCUAUGGCCAACACCACGACCGGUGGAACUGCCAGUCUGCUGUAGCCAAGUCUCAUGUAGUCGGUCCUUGUGGCUAAUUAUGUGGGAUCACACGCAAUUUCAGUAAACGGCGUAGGGUGGCUCCUCGGAGUCGCUCUGCGUGUUAUCGGCUACUGGUUGUGAACGGGUACUUGAUGGUUAGGCAACUGCUGUCAGGUGGCCUGGUGGGCUAUGGUGGUAAUUAAAAUCUGUGCAGGGCACCGGGGUUUACGGCCUCAAAUUCUGCUAUCUGCGCGCACGUUGCAUUGUGUAGCGUGGGGGCGGCGUAAUCGUGGGCUGCCUGUCGUUGGGUUUGAUUGUCGUGUCGCCUGCACAAAGUGGGCCCGGCAGUAGCUCGGCGCGGGAUGGUCUGUGAGCGUUGUCUUCAGUGUAGACUGUAGUGGGCCUAAUAGUCAGUGGUGCAGCGGUAGGCUAGCCUCCCGACCCGUCUUGAAACACGGACCAAGGAGUUUAACAUGUAUGCGAGUCAAAGGGUCCUACGAAACCCCAAGGCGCAGUGAAAGUGAAGCUUCGACUUGUCUCGAAGUGUGGUGAGAUCCUGCUGUUACUCGCAUCAGCCUCGGUGUGUCAGCAUCAGGCUUAAGAGCGGUAGGCGCAUCACCGGCCCGUCUCAUGAUGUGGUCAUUGGAUUUAUGCAGUUGCUGUUUCGGCAGUGGCUGUGUUGCCAGUGCGUCAUCGGGGCGGAGCAUGAGCAUACAUGUUAUGACCCGAAAGAUGGUGAACUAUGCUUGCGUAGGUUGAAGCCAGAGGAAACUCUGGUGGAGGACCGCAGCGAUUCUGACGUGCAAAUCGAUCGUCAAACGUGAGUAUAGGGGCGAAAGACUAAUCGAACCAUCUAGUAGCUGGUUCCCUCCGAAGUUUCCCUCAGGAUAGC